CUACCCCUGAAUGGUGGAUAACCCUCCGAAAGGAGGGCUAAUACAGCAUAAGACCACGGCCUCUCUGGAGGCUGGGGCCAAAGCGGGCCACUUCAUGAAAGCUCGCGUUUGGGGAUGAGCCUGCGGCCCAUCAGCUAGUUGGCGGUGUAACGGACCACCAAGGCUAAGACGGGUAGCUGGUCUGAGAGGAUGGCCAGCCACAUUGGGACUGAGACACGGCCCAG
rnacentral:rRNA from 1 species